ACAGGUGAAACGGUGCGGUAAAAGCGCACCAGUCCAUAAGGUGACUUAUGGAGCUUGGUAAACCCCAUCCGGAGCAAGGUAAAUGGGGGACAUAUACAGGCGUGCCCGUCUCGUCCCCAGGUAACCGCUUGAGGUGGAUGGUAACAUCCAUCCCAGAUGAAUGACCGUCACAUACAGAAUCCGGCUUAUUCUCAACUCAAGUC
rnacentral:RNase_P_RNA from 1 species